rnacentral:rRNA from 1 species
AUGAACGCUAGCUACAGGCUUAACACAUGCAAGUCGAGGGGCAGCAUGUGGUUGCUUGCAACCAAUGAUGGCGACCGGCGCACGGGUGAGUAACGCGUAUCCAACCUGGCCCGCAGUAGGGAACAGCCCGGCGAAAGUCGGAUUAAUGCCCUAUGUCUUCCUUUGCAGGCAUCCAAUGAGGAAGAAAGAUUUAUCGCUGCGGGAUGGGGAUGCGUCUGAUUAGCUUGUCGGCGGGGUAACGGCCCACCGAGGCGACGAUCAGUAGGGGUUCUGAGAGGAAGGUCCCCCACACUGGUACUGAGACACGGACCAGACUCCUACGGGAGGCAGCAGUGAGGAAUAUUGGUCAAUGGGCGAGAGCCUGAACCAGCCAAGUAGCGUGCAGGGAACCGACUGCCCUAUGGGUUGUAAACUGCUUUUAUGCGGGGAUAAACUUCAGCACGUGUGCUGUUUUGCAGGUACCGCAUGAAUAAGGACCGGCUAAUUCCGUGCCAGCAGCGGC